UUGUAGGCUUUGAGCAUCAGGAGGAUUAGCACUGCUAUUCCGAUUCAGAGAUAAGGUUAAACGACAGGCUUUGCCUAGACAGGUGGGCUUAUUUUUCAAAUGUAUGAUUUAGCUAUUGAGCUUAAAUAUUCGUGAAAUAUAAACUGUUUAUCCAAUAAAAUAUUUUUGUGCACUCUACCAUGUUUAAGGCUCGUACAGUUAAUCAAUUGAGGUUCUCUUAUGACCUAACACGUUGUUUGAGAAUUGUGUACACUUGUUAGCUGACUCGGUGGGUUGAUCUCCAUCGGGCACUAACCAGAGGCGUUAUAAG
rnacentral:lncRNA from 1 species